UACGUAGGGGGCGAGCGUUGUCCGGAUUUAUUGGGCGUAAAGAGCUCGUAGGCGGUUUGGCAAGUCGGGUGUGAAAACUCCGGGCUCAACUCGGAGACGCCACUCGAUACUGCCAUGACUCGAGUCCGGUAGGGGAGUGCGGAAUUCCUGGUGUAGCGGUGAAAUGCGCAGAUAUCAGGAAGAACACCCGUGGCGAAGGCGGCUCUCUGGUACGUGACUGACGCUGAGACGCGAAAGCGUGGGGAGCAAACAGG
rnacentral:rRNA from 1 species